rnacentral:rRNA from 1 species
UACGUAGGGGGCGAGCGUUGUCCGGAUUUAUUGGGCGUAAAGAGCGUGUAGGCGGCCAGGUAGGUCCGUUGUGAAAACUCGAGGCUCAACCUCGAGACGUCGGCGGAAACCCUCUGGCUAGAGUCCGGAAGAGGAGAGUGGAAUUCCUGGUGUAGCGGUGAAAUGCGCAGAUAUCAGGAGGAACACCUAUUGCGAAGGCAGCUCGCUGGGACGUAACUGACGCUGAGACGCGAAAGCGUGGGGAGCAAACAGG